AACUUUAUGAAUAUUUAUUUUAUUCAAUUGUUAGAUUGUGUACUGUUAGUACUUUUUUUAUAUUCCAUAGUUUAGUUUAGUGUCUGACUUUAAGAUUUGAGAAGUUUUCUUUUAACGUGACUUUUCCAGAUAUGUUUUGUGUUGAAGCAUGUUUUUAGAGAGGAGGCUGAAAAACACCAUGAUUAAAAGCCUGCUUUCCUGUAUGAACCUGAAGCAGAAAUUAAGCUUCUAUUCCUAGUCCCGCUUUGGUUCAGCGUCUUGGGCGGAACUAGGAUGAUUCCAGCACAACGGGCGAAGAAGGAAGGAGCACUGAGGAGAG